rnacentral:tRNA from 1 species
GGGGACAUGGCACAGUGUCAAAGCGUUUGCUUGGCAUGCAGAUGGUUCCAGGUUCGACCCCUAGUGUCUCCA